GACGAACGCUGGCGGCGUGCUUAACACAUGCAAGUCGAUCGAGGUCCAUGGAGUAGCAAUACUCCGGAAGACCUAGUGGCGAACGGGUGCGUAACACGUGAGGAACUUGUCCCGGUCUCUGGGAUAACAGUUGGAAACGACUGCUAAUACCGGAUGACGUCGGAGCGUCGCAUGGCGCGCUGACGAAAGGGUUACUGGAUCGGGAGAGCCUCGCGGCCUAUCAGCUAGUUGGUGGGGUAACGGCCUACCAAGGCAUCGACGGGUAGCUGGUCUGAGAGGAUGAUCAGCCACACUGGGACUGAGACACGGCCCAGACCCCUACGGGAGGCAGCAGUGGGGAAUUUUGCGCAAUGGGCGAAAGCCUGACGCAGCAACGCCGCGUGCGGGAAGAAGGCUCUCGGGUUGUAAACCGCUUUCAGCAGGAACGAAAAUGACGGUACUUGCAGAAGAAGGUGCGGCCAACUACGUGCCAGCCGCCGCAGUAAAAC
rnacentral:rRNA from 1 species